AGUGAACGCUGGCGGCGUGCCUAAUACAUGCAAGUCGAACGGAGCGGCGGACGGGUGAGUAAUGCCUAGGAAUCUGCCUGGUAGUGGGGGAUAACGUCCGGAAACGGGCGCUAAUACCGCAUACUAUCAGAUGAGCCUAGGUCGGAUUAGCAAGUAGGUGGGGUAACGGCUCACCUAGGCGACGAUCCCUAGCUGGUCUGAGAGGAUGACCAGCCACACUGGAACGGAGACACGGUCCAGACUCCUACGGGAGGCAGCAGUGGGGAAUAUUGCACAAUGGGCGAAAGCCUGAUGCAGCCAUGCCGCGUGUGUGAAGAAGGCCUUCGGGUUGUAAAGCACUUUCAGCGGGGAGGCGUUACCCGCAGAAGAAGCACCGGCUAACUCCGUGCCAGCAGCCGCGGUAAUAC
rnacentral:rRNA from 1 species